UUUCCUAUACGAUAUCAAAACAUUACGUAGAAAAAAUUUGACUUAGAAUAAAAUUCAUAAACAAAUAAUUUUCCGAACUACAAAAUUGAAAUGAUUUAUAAGAUAAAAAUCUUCUGCUUGACUUUCCUGAGUAUUAAUGGAAAAAAAUAUUCUUGAAAUAACGGCAGAACAUACCUAAAAUAUCAGUGUCCUGUCCGUGAAUGUAUAUUAAAGGAAUCGACAUACAUAUAAACAAAGAACGAGUACUUGAGAAUUCUCUAAACUGGUAG